rnacentral:rRNA from 1 species
UACGGAGGGGGCGAGCGUUAUUCGGAAUUAUUGGGCGUAAAGGGCGCGUAGGCGGCUUUGUAAGUCAAAGGUGAAAUCCCUCGGCUCAACUGAGGAACUGCCUUUGAAACUGCAAGGCUUGAGGCCGGGAGGGGGUAGCGGAAUUCCCAAUGUAGCGGUGAAAUGCGUAGAUAUUGGGAGGAACACCAGUGGCGAAGGCGACACGCUGGGCCGUACCUGACACUGAUACGCGACAGCAUGGGGAGCGAACGGG